rnacentral:rRNA from 1 species
UACAGAGGUCUCAAGCGUUGUUCGGAUUCAUUGGGCGUAAAGGGUGCGUAGGUGGCGAGGUUAGUCAGGUGUGAAAUCUCGGGGCUCAACCCCGAAACUGCACUUGAUACUGCCUUGCUAGAGUACUGGAGAGGAGAUUGGAAUUUACGGUGUAGCAGUGAAAUGCGUAGAUAUCGGGAGGAACACCGGUGGCGAAGGCGGUUCUCUGGGCCUUACCUGACGCUGAGGAGCGAAAGCGUGGGGAGCAAACAGG